rnacentral:lncRNA from 1 species
CUUGUCUUAGGAACUUGAAGAAUCUCUCUGAGUCCUGCUACAUCAGCACUUUUGGGAUUAAUCCAUGGGUGUUUGAAAGGAAUGCAUUAGAUGAGGCCUUGGAGCAGGGAUGCUGGCCACCCAUGGAGAAAAAUGAGACCUGUGUUCCAGGCUGUCAGCAGAGUCCCGGAGGCUUUGCCCAUGGCUGUGGUUCAAACUGUGUUCCACAAAUACUUGCAACUGUCUGCAGGGCCUCGGAGACAUGGGCCAAAUGGGUUUCCCUCCCAAAUACCCAGGCAUGACACAACUUCAGCUUUCAUCUAAUUAUACACUGGACAUCCACACCGUUUCACCUGCAAAGGGUUCUACUGUUAAAAUAAAUAAACAAAAUAAACCCUCUCUUUUAUAAUAUGUGAACUUUAAAUUAAAAUAAAAAAACAGAUUAGCAACGCA